GCAGGGGCUGUGUCUCCCCAGAGCUUGUCUGAGUGGCGCAUGCAGAACAUUGCCCGAGACUCCGAGAACAGCUCCGAGGAAGAGUUCUUUGAUGCCCACGAAGGCUUCUCGGACAGUGAGGAGGUCUUCCCCAAGGAGAUGACCAAGUGGAACUCCAAUGACUUCAUCGACGCCUUUGCCUCCCCAAUGGAGGCGGAGGGAACGCCAGGUAAAGAUCCCGCCUAGGACACCGGCCCCCAGCACCCGUGUACAGCAGGUCAUAAGUUUAAUGGCAUCUUAAGAUGAGAGGCAA
rnacentral:sRNA from 1 species